UUAAAACCACGGAAUAAUAAUUAAUAGUCAAAACUUUCAACAACGGAUCUCUUGGUUCUCGCAUCGAUGAAGAACGCAGCGAAAUGCGAUACGUAAUAUGAAUUGCAGAUAUUCGUGAAUCAUCGAAUCUUUGAACGCACAUUGCGCCCUCUGGUAUUCCGGAGGGCAUGCCUGUUUGAGCGUCGUUUCUCCCUCAAACCGCUGGGUUUGGUGUUGAGCAAUACGACUUGGGUUUGCUUGAAAGACGGUAGUGGUAAGGCGGGAUCGCUUUGACAAUGGCUUAGGUCUAACCAAAAACAUUGCUUGCGGCGGUAACGUCCUACCACGUAUAUCUUUCAAACUUUGACCUCAAAUAAGGUC
rnacentral:misc_RNA from 1 species